ensembl:lncRNA
GUCUUAGUGUCCUAACUCACUAGCCUGUGGCGCUGUAAUUGGAAGGUGCUGGAACCUUGGAACCGCGGAAGAGCCUUGUGGGAGCUCUUCCAACCAUUGGCCCAAGAAAGGAGUAUUGAGACACAGCCCUCCCUCUUUCUUUUCCUGUCCCAGCCAUGAGGUAAGUGGUUUUACCACUUUUAUUUGGGGGGUGGGGGGCGUACCAGGGAUUGAACUCGGUCCUUGCACUUGUGAGGCAGGUGGUGGAACCACUGAGCUAAAUCCCCGGGCCAGUUUUGCCACUUUCUGACGCCAUGGUGUGGUCCCUUACGACAGGCCCCAAAGCACUGGGUAUAACAAUCAUAGACCGACACCUCCAAAAGUUUGAGCCUAAAUAAACCUAUUUUAUGACUCAGGUAUUUUUUUUUUUUUACAGUAACAGAAACCUGACUGAUGCAGCAUGCUUCUGUCUUACAGGAUAGGACAUCAGAUUGGAACACAAGUGCUCCACAAUGUGCUGUCUUCCCUAGAGGUGGUCAAUAUGAAGCACAUGAGAAAAGGAUUGGUUAGACACAUACAAAGCUAUAAGCCAAGAAGAGGAAAGGGUUUAAAAGAAAAAGGGACAGUUAAGACCAGACAAAAAGACAAGGAAAAGCAGAAUGAAGGAAGGAAUAAGAAAAGAAGAUAUAGGUGGAAAUAGAGAAGUAACAAUGAUUAAAAUAUAUUGAAGCUUUACCAUUUGCCAGGCAUUAUAAAUGCUUUCCACAAAUUACAGUGUGUAAGCCUCAUAAUGUGAGGAAUCUUCUACUAUUUUUCCCACUCAACAGAAAAGAAAAAUGAUGUUUAGAGAGAUACACAGACGUGUUGAAGGUCAUAGAACUAGUGAGGGGAAAACCAGGGAUUUAAAUCCAUGCCUUUCUUAACUCCUAACAUGUACUUCACCUUAUGCUCAAGGGACAAUGUCGUGUGCUUAGUUCAUAUCAACAGCUUAAAUGCAUAAUAUGUGCUCUUAACCUCUGAGCUGGAGUCACAGGCUUUGUGAGAUUGCCGUCUCUCUGUCCUGGUGGAAGAGCAAGCCAGUAAACAUGGAAUACUGCCACGGUAAUCAGACUUUACUGCCUUCUGCCUGCCAUGAAUUGUUUCUCCUCCAUGAUGCCCUCUGCCAUGCCACCCUGUCUUGGAGCCAGCUAACUUUGGACUAAAACCUCUACAAUCUGAGCUACAAUAAAUUUUUCUUCCUUUAACUUUGGGUGUCAGGAUUUUUGUCUCAGCAAUGAGAAAAAUGCCUAAGACAGUCAUACUGGCCUAGUUUGCAGGGUGAGCAAUGAAUAAGUGAUGAUUAUGAAAUAUUUACCAAAUCCAAAUGUCUAAUUUGGUUUAGCCAUAGGAUGGGCUGAAUUAAAAGGAGAAUUAUUAUCACAAAGGACUACAGGUUUAUACAUGUUUAAUCUUGCCAGCCUCCUACUGAACAUUCCUAAGAAAUGAUAUUUCUUCUUUUAUAUAUAUCAUAAUACUUGUAUGAGCUUUCUCUCCAAAGGUAAAGGUGUAUUAUGCAUUGAUGAAUGUCAUCAGUUAUUAAAAGAUUAACUAAAUACUAGGCACCACAUUAUCUCACAACUUUGUGAAGUAGAAGUAGGUCCUGAUGACCCAAUUUUAUAGAUGAGGAAUCAAAGUUCAGAGAGGCAGAAGUAAGAUUUCAAGCCAGCACUCUCUCCGUGCACAACUAUCACACAUUUACUUUCUGUUAAAAACAAGUCUGACCAUUUAACUUUGCUGGGCACCUCGUUGGGGAAAAGGGAUACAAAGUGGAAAACAAUGACAGCAGAGCAAGAGGCAGAGUACACACUGUUUCGGGGUUCUUAGCUACAUGCUUGUCCUCUACAAAAUUAACAGCAGCAGAUAUGAAGUAAUAAGUAAGGGCUAAUAAACUAUGGGACUGAUAAUGCAUCUGCAGUAAAACUUACACCAGAGAUUUCCAGUGCUGAAUUAACUCAGUCCUUUACAGGACCCUUCAAAGUAUGGACCUUGGAGAACUUGAAUCGAAUCACAUCAGAUACUUUUAAAGAAGUGAUCGCUAAGACUUAUCCUUGGAAAUCCAAUUCAAAGCAUUUGGAGCAAGGUCUAGGAUUCUAUAUAUGAGUCCUAUGCAACAAACGUUUGAUAAACGCUCUUCCAGCUACUAACCUCAGUUCCAUAAUUGAAACUUUUUCAAACUUCAUAAGGUGGUUGCAGAGUUC